rnacentral:rRNA from 1 species
CCUACGGGAGGCUGCAGUGAGGAAUAUUGGUCAAUGGACGCAAGUCUGAACCAGCCAUGCCGCGUGCAGGAAGACGGCCCUAUGAGUUGUAAACUGCUUUUGCACGAGGGUAAACGCAGAUACGCGAAUCCGUCUGAAAGUAUCGUACGAAUAAGGAACGGCAAACACGUUGCCAGCACCCGCGGUAAUACGGAGGAUUCAAGCGUUAUCCGGAUUUAUUGGGGUUAAGGGGCUCGCAGGGGGAGGUGCAAGUCGGCGGUCAAAUUGCGGGGCUCAACCCCGUACUGCCGUUGAAACUGCGUGGCUUGAGUGCGCGAGAAGUAGGCGGAAUGCGUGGUGUAGCGGUGAAAUGCAUAGAUAUCACGCAGAACUCCGAUUGCGAAGGCAGCAUACCGGCGCGCAACUGACGCUCAGGCACGAAAGCGUGGGUAUCGAACAGGAUUAGAUACCCCAGUAGUC